rnacentral:rRNA from 1 species
GACGAACGCUGGCGGCGUGCUUAACACAUGCAAGUCGAACGGAAAGGCCCCUUUGGGGGUACUCGAGUGGCGAACGGGUGAGUAACACGUGAGUAACCUGCCCUUGACUUCGGGAUAACUUCAGGAAACUGGGGCUAAUACCGGCUAGGAAUCCUUGCUGCAUGGUGGGGGUUGGAAAGCUUCGGCGGUUUUGGAUGGACUCGCGGCUUAUCAGCUUGUUGGUGGGGUAGUGGCUUACCAAGGCUUUGACGGGUAGCCGGCCUGAGAGGGCGACCGGCCACAUUGGGACUGAGAGACGGCCCAGACUCCUACGGGAGGCAGCAGGGGGGAAUAUUGCACAAUGGGCGGAAGCCUGAUGCAGCAACGCCGCGUGCGGGAUGACGGCCUUCGGGUUGUAAACCGCUUUCAGCAGGGGCGAAGCUUGUGGUGACGGUACCUGCAGAAGAAGCACCGGCUAACUACGUG